CUCUUUUCUGCUCCUUGAAUUAGCAUGAUAUUAAAGAGGAGAGCACAACCUGUAUAAGUCAUAUAUAUUUUGGGAACACUGAGUGCCAUCUAUGGAAAACAAUAGAUAGGCUGUGUGGAGAAUUGUGGGGCUGUGUCGGUUAGGACAGUGCUGCAGAGGAUAAUUUUUGAUGGUGAAGCAUGGUAGGACUGCCAUUAUUGUGCAGCGGGCCCAUAGGCCGGAAGAUGAUAGUCUGAGGCAGAAGGCCCCGGGCGCUCUGUAUUUAGCUCUAAUUCAAGCGUGCCUCUGGGGCAAUAAGACAGAUAUACA